rnacentral:tRNA from 2 species
GGGGCCGUAGUCUAGCCUGGUAGGAUGCGCGGUUCGGGUCCGCGUGACCCCGGGUUCAAAUCCCGGCGGCCCCACCA